CCCCUUCCCAGAGGCCCUCAGCAGCCAAUCCCCUCCCUCAGACUGUGCUGCGGGCAUUCAGCUCUCUCUAGGACCCAGCGCAGCUUUUACAUGCUCCACUGCUUGCCGUCUGUCUGGCAGAGUGUGAGGUGCCCCUGGAAGAGCGGUGCCCUACGCGACUGCCUAUUCUGUCUAUGGCUAAGGACGGCCCUGCUUAGACACAAAAGGAUUGGCUGGCAGCGUGGUAUUUGGGCUCAUUAGACAGACAACAUAUCUGGAUUCUUCUAUGGGCCCCUCAUCACCACAGCAUUGGAGCAACUGGAUAUACUCCAUACCCAUCCAAAAUUAUGAAUAAACAGGAAAAUGAAGAUGAAGACGACGGAGUUAGCUGUAGAAGCCAAUAUUUUAAGUUUCUCAUGUUAACCUGGCUGACAUAGUCGGUUUAAUUAUUGUUUUUUAAAUAUUUCAUUUAACUAUUUUAGUUAAAAACAAUUUUAACAAAAACAAACCUGAUUUUAAAAAAACUUGAAUGUUUAACUAAAUUCAAAAAUUCAUAUGCUUGUUUUGUUAAAAUAUUAUCUGUUUUCUGUUGAAGAAAAAAAUCCAGAAUACAUAACAUUGUUGUUUUAGUUAAAUAAAACAAUUUAAAUGUCUGUCUGGUGAUGUUCUCUUUCUAAUACAGCAUGGCAAGAAAAUCCUCCAAAUAUUAAUGAUUAACUUGUUGAAUUGGAGAUAGUUCACCUCCCAAUGACUUCAUAAAUAUCUGCUUCAAUUACCUUUGGAAAAUGAAAU